GACGAACGCUGGCGGCGUGCUUAACACAUGCAAGUCGAACGGAAAGGCCCUGCUUUUGUGGGGUGCUCGAGUGGCGAACGGGUGAGUAACACGUGAGUAAACUGCCCUUGACUUUGGGAUAACUUCAGGAAACUGGGGCUCUUACCGGAUAGGAGCUCCUGCUGCAUGGUGGGGGUUGGAAAGUUUCGGCGGUUGGGGAUGGACUCGCGGCUUAUCCGCUUGUUGGUGGGGUAGUGGCUUACCAUGGCUUUGACGGGUAGCCGGCCUGAGAGGGUCACCGGCGACAUUAGGACUGAGAUACGGACCAGACUCGAAUGGGAGGCAACAGUGGGGAAUAUUACACAAUGGGCGGAAGCCUGAUGCAGCAACGCCGCGUGCGGGAUGACGGCCUGCGGGUUGUGAACCGCUUUCGCCUGUGACGAAGCGUGAGUGACGGUAAUGGGUAAAGAAGCACCGGCUAACUACGUG
rnacentral:rRNA from 1 species